CACACCCACUUACCCAGCUGCUGAGUCAGGCUGUUCUCGCUCCCCGCUCGCCCGCCCGCUCGGGACAUUGUGUUCCAGCCCCGGCGCGCUGGCACCGGGCCCAGGCGCUCACACCAGCCUCCUCGCCCUGUUUGUGCUCGCGGCUUGCGCUCGGCGCGCAGCCUCCCCGCCGCCGCAGCCCUGCGAGUGCGCGCUGGGGCCCGGCCAGGGGCGGCCGGGGGGCUGGUGCGGAGCCCCGGCGACGCGCACCCGGCCCGCGGGGCCCCGCAGCCCAGCCCGGGCGCCAGCCUUACGUACAGCACCCAGACCUCUCCAGCCCCCACCUGAGCCCUGCUGUGGAAGCCCGGGCGCGCGUGGGGCCCGAGCGGCACACUUGGGGGGGGGGGCAGGUGUCGGUAGCUCCUCGAGGGAGAAGGAGCCGCCCAGGCUGCCGCCCAAGCCCCGCUAGCGCUCGGUCCCGUCUGGAGGAGGAUAGCUUGGGAGCGCGCCAGCCCCACACUUGGAAGACCUGGGAUGCAGUCACGUGACAACGGAAGCCCGCUGGAGGGGGGCCGAUUCAAGCGAUCCCCCCCACCCCCACCCCCACCCGCCACGAGGAGCCUCCUCCUCCUCGUGCCUCGGACCCUCUUCCCCGUCCGCUCUUCGCACCAGCCUGGAGACUCCAGGGAUUCCCAAGGGCUGGCAAACCAAGCCCAGCCCUUUGGGAGAGCUUGGGAAACCCCUGGCAGGACGCCGGCAGUACGAAGAGCCCGGGAGCAGACAGCAGGGUGGAGAAGACGACCCCGAACUGGAACGUGACCCCUCCCUUUGUUCCAGCCCCAAACCCGGAUUUAUUCAGAGCCACGUUUUCUCUUUACCCAUCCAUCUACAGAAAGACGUCAUUGAGUGCAGUUCCUGAAGGUUCCACCGUCUCCAAACCAAGGAGGGGACAAAGGGCUGACAUACUGAGCAUACCAUAUGGAAGGCUCUGUUGGGUCGUGCUAACGAUGUCAGUAGAAAGUUGAAGACACAAUUCCUAAAGUCCUUUCGUCUCCCACCUUCCAACCUCCGCAGUGUGCUGUGCCAUUUCUGCUGCCAGGGGUGCCCAUGCUCCGAGGCUACCCAUCUCUUCAGCUCCAGCUCAGAAAGCCCGCUUGAAACAGCGCCAGCCAAAUCUGAUUCCUCUCCCCUCCCAAUGCCCGGCACAUUCAGUCUGUACCUUUCUCACGGCACAGCGUGUGGCCUGUCUCGUAUUCUAGUGAUCUGUUUACUAAUCCUGUUCUUCUAACCAGAUUAAAAAGUCCUUGAGGCGGAAACAAAGUCUGCCUCUUUGAGCCCCCUCCCCCCCCCCCCCCCCCCCAUCACUUGAGCUCAUCCCCCACAGGCCAAGUUUGGCACUGGAGUUGAUGUUCAGUAAAUGUUGGGUGUAUUGAAAUGAUUUCCUGCCCUUGGGCAGUUUGCAGACCAGUUGAAGAGACAAACACACAGCUCGUGAGGUUAAAUAAUAACCCAAGCCAGCAGGUGAUAUCCAUCAUGGACAUUCUCUGUCCCAAAUCGUGACUUUGAGCCCCGUCUCUGCCACGUACUACCGGUGGGAUCCUAGGACAAGCACUUCAUCACCAUAAGCCUCAGUUUCAUCAUCUGUAAACAGGCAGAGGAAAUUCCUCGCCACUGGACCGCACCCGCCCUUGAGGACCUCCCCAUCUCUUUGGGCAGAGCAGAAGCCAGACAGAGCAGGGGACUGUGAAGUGACAAUCCUCAGCCCUGUGUGUGCCAGGAGCCCCCGAGGGGCAGGCACCACACUGCAGGCGGGCAGGGGCCGCAGAGGAGCGUGGUGUGGGCUGCUGGGACAGAGCUCCUCUCAGAGGAGGUGGGGACCCCGUGGAGUACGUGACUCGUGCCCUUCCAGGCUGCACGCUCCAGUUAGCAGGACAGAGACCCCUCCCCACCCAUCUCCAACCUUCCCAGGCUUCCUGCUCUGCUGGGAGGCCCUGUCACCACACACACACAUUCUCUCUCUCUCUCUCUCUCUCUCUCUCUCUCUCUCUCUCUCUCUCUCUCUCGCACUCACACCCCCCUCCCAGGCACCCCUGAGAGGACCAGCUGCAGCUGGGAGAUGGGGGUGGGGAGAGUACUGCCAGGGUUCUCAGAUCCCUAGCCUCCCUCUCCCACCCCUCCCUCGCCCCCAACUGCUGAGCUGCUUCUAGGUUUAAAGCAAAACAUGAAUCUGUCCUUCCUGCUGUUCAGUGGCAGCAGCCCUGCCUGGAAUUAUUUUUAGCAUGGAUGCAGGGAAGGCACAGUUCUCCUUGACUUUCACUGGGGACAUCCCCCACCCCCCAGCCAAGACUUGGCGGGGGGGGGGGGAGGUCAGUACGGAAACCCCCCUCCCAGAAAGGGGAAAUGGGUGUGUUUUCUGUUCCUUCAGCUCACCAGAACAGGAGUUGUAGUCAAGCUUGGGGUUGUGCUGAUGGGAAAUUCUAGGUUCCAAAGCCCAUGGGUUCCACCCCACCUUUGUCUGUGUCCCCCUAAGUCUGAGAAGCAGGAAGUGCAUGAUGUCUGCAGCCGAGAUGCCCAAUCUGUGGGUGUUGGGGUCCAAGGGGAGCCACUUGGUUACACCCAACACUGUGGACUAACGACAUAGGGACACCUAUGGGUGCAGGGUGUGGUGUUUACACGGGUGCUUGCUUUAUAAUUGAUUAAACUGAGCAUGUCUGUUCUAUA